UACGUAGGGCGCAAGCGUUACUCGGAAUUAUUGGGCGUAAAGCGCGCGUAGGCGGUUUGUUAAGUCUGUUGUGAAAGCCCCGGGCUCAACCUGGGAAUGGCAAUGGAUACUGGCAAGCUAGAGUGCGGUAGAGGGUAGUGGAAUUCCCGGUGUAGCGGUGAAAUGCGUAGAGAUCGGGAGGAACACCAGUGGCGAAGGCGGCUCUCUGGACUGUAACUGACACUGAGGCACGAAAGCGUGGGGAGCAAACAGG
rnacentral:rRNA from 1 species